rnacentral:rRNA from 1 species
CAAUAGCGUAUAUUAAAGUUGUUGCGGUUAAAAAGCUCGUAGUUGGAUUUCUGUUGGGAACGACCGGUCCGCCCAUUGGGUGUGUAUCUGGCUUGUUCUCGGCAUCUUCUUGGUGAACGUUGCUGCACUUGACUGUGUGGAGCGCUACCCAGGACUUUUACUUUGAGGAAAUUAGAGUGUUUCAAGCAGGCAUAUGCCUUGAAUACAUUAGCAUGGAAUAAUAAGAUAGGACCUCGGUUCUAUUUUGUUGGUUUCUAGAGCUGAGGUAAUGAUUAAUAGGGAUAGUUGGGGGCAUUCGUAUUUAACUGUCAGAGGUGGAAUUCUUGGAUUUGUUAAAGACGGACUACUGCGAAAGCAUUUGCCAAGGAUGUUUUCAUUGA